rnacentral:rRNA from 1 species
AGUGAACGCUGGCGGUAGGCCUAACACAUGCAAGUCGAACGGCAGCACAGUAAGAGCUUGCUCUUACGGGUGGCGAGUGGCGGACGGGUGAGGAAUACAUCGGAAUCUACUUUUUCGUGGGGGAUAACGUAGGGAAACUUACGCUAAUACCGCAUACGACCUACGGGUGAAAGCAGGGGAUCUUCGGACCUUGCGCGAUUGAAUGAGCCGAUGUCGGAUUAGCUAGUUGGCGGGGUAAAGGCCCACCAAGGCGACGAUCCGUAGCUGGUCUGAGAGGAUGACCGGCCACACUGGAACUGAGACACGGUCAGACUCCUACGGGAGGCAGCAGUGGGGAAUAUUGGACAAUGGGCGCAAGCCUGAUCCAGCCAUACCGCGUGGGUGAAGAAGGCCUUCGGGUUGUAAAGCCCUUUUGUUGGGAAAGAAAAGCAGCAGGUUAAUACCCCGCUGUUCUGACGGUACCCAAAGAAUAAGCACCGGCUAACUUCGUG